AUGGUGUCAGCUGAGCCGCCGCUGCAACUGGAGCCGAAGAAUGUGUGCGUCGUGGGAGCCGGCAUGGCCGGUAUGGCGGCGGCGCGCGAGCUGCGGCGAGAGGGCCACGUCGUGACGGUCAUGGAGCAGAGCGGCGACGUCGGCGGGCAGUGGCUGUACGACCCGAGGACCGACGAUGACGGCCUGCUCGAGGCCGGGGCCGCGCCAGUGCGCGUGCACAGCAGCAUGUACGCCUGCCUCCGUCUCAUCAGCCCGAGGGAGGCCAUGGGCUUCUCCGACUUCCAGUUCUUCCCCAGGGAGGGCGUCGCCGGCCGCGACCCGCGCCGCUUCCCGACCCACCGCGAGGUGUACUACUACCUCCGGGAGUUCUGCCACGCGUUCGGGCUUGCUGACGCCGUCAGGCUCAACACCAGGGUCACGCGCGUCGCCGCCGUGCCCACGUCGUUGACGGAUCAAUGGGCUGUGAGAACCGUGCACCUCGGUGGCACGGCCACGGACGAGGAGGAGAAGGAGGAGGUGUUCGAUGCCGUCGUCGUGGCCACCGGCCACUACUCGCAGCCGAAGCUCCCGAGCAUCAACGGCAUGGAGGACUGGCCGCGGAGGCAGCUGCACAGCCACUCGUACCGGACGCCGGAGCCGUUCCGCGGCGAGGUGGUGGUGAUGGUCGGGUGCGGGGACAGCGGCAAGGACAUCGCGCUGGACCUCCGCCGCGUCGCCAAGGAGGUGCACCUCACUGCCAAGUCCGUGGAGGAGGCCAUGACGCCGGCGAUGUCCAAGAUGCUGGCGAACCACGCCAACCUGCACCUCCACCCGCAGAUAGACCGCCUGCACGCCGACGGCCGCGUGGCGUUCGCCGACGGCUCCUCCGUCGUCGCCGACACUGUCAUGUACUGCACGGGGUACACCUACUCGUUCACGUUCCUGGACACGGGUGGCGCGGUCACCGUCGACGACAACCGCGUGGGGCCGCUGUUCGAGCACGUGUUCCCGCCGUCCCUGGCGCCGUCGCUCUCCUUCGUCGGCAUACCGAGGAAGGUCAUCGUGCCGUGGUUCUUCGAGGCGCAGGGGAAGUGGGUCGCGCAGGUGCUGUCCGGCCGGCGGGCGCUGCCGCCGGAGGAGGAGAUGCUGCGGUCCGUGGAGGAGUAUUACCGGGCCAGGGAGGCAGCCGGCGUGCCGAAGAAGUACACCCACGACAUCGCCGGCGUGGAUCCUGAGAAAAUGUACGAGUUCGGGGAAAAGUACUGCGAUUUCGCGCGUAUCGAGGAUUGGAAGAGGGAGCUGCUCGUGUCCAUCAUCGCCAACAUGGACAACGACAUGGAGACCUUCCGCGACCGCGCGGACGACGGCGAGAACGUCCGGAAGGGCCUGCAGAGAUGGCACGGCGAAGCUGCUCAAGCCCAAGAAGAUCAAACUACGGUUGCUGCGGUUGAAGCUGACCUUGAUGCCCAGGUCAAGGAAGAAGAAGAAGAAGGGGGGCCUCUCCCCCUCUCUCCAGGUGGCGCCGGAAUGCCGCCGGGGCCAUCAUCGUGUGACGGCGAUCUACACCAACACCUCCGCCAUCUUCACCAGCAUCUUCAUCACCUUCCCCCAUCUAUCUACAGGUUA
rnacentral:rRNA from 1 species